AUGGUUGUUGACGAUGGUGGUGCGAGGGAGGUUGCCGCGAUGGCGGAAAUGGCAGCAGAGUCAAAUCGAGCGGCGGACGGCGGCCGAAUCGCGGGGCGGCGGUGGGUGGAAAUCGAUCGAUUCGCGGCGUCCGGCGGCAGGCGGCGGUCGAAACGCGGCGGAAUCGACAGCGGGGGUGUAGGAGAUGGCGGAACUGUCGCGGGGCGAAGACGGUGUGCUGCGGUGGGCGGAGGCCGAAUCCCGGGGCAGCAGCGGGACGAAGAAGAAUGGGGUGGGUGGAAAGGAAAUGAACGGCGCGCGCAGGCGGCUGUUUCACAUAUCCCGCACUCGGAGAUGCGAAUUUGCAUCGCAAGGUGUUGUGUUUUACAUCUCCGAAAGGUGGAGAUGUAA
rnacentral:rRNA from 1 species